AGGCGGAGGUUGCAGUGAGCUGAGAUCGUGUCACUGUGCUCCCUCCUGGGAGACAGAGUGAGACUUCAUCUCAAAAAAAGAAAAAGAAAAAGAGAAAGAAAUACAUUUCUCUGAUUUUUCCCAUUUAACGAUGUAAAAACCAUACUUAUUGCCCAGGAUAUACAAACACAGGUGAUGGACCAUAAUCUGCUGACCCUUGCUUUAUGCCAUCAUCAAUUUUUUUUUUUUUUGCCCCACAUGUAGAGCAUUUGUUUGUAGGGAGGCCACAAGCUUCAUGCCUCUCAUCACAAUGACUCCAGGUUCCUGUUGGGUGUGUUA